GUUUUCAAAAAUUAUGGCCAAGACAGGCAGCCCACCCUACUCCUUCGGACAUCUGGGAUGAUUUGAAAAGUUUGGAGCAUGGGAAGGGCAGGAGCCCUCCUCGGGAGAGGACRGACCUCCUGCUUUGCCAGCCGACACCGCUGGAGAGACAGCACGGAGAGAAGCUGACACCACCUCGCAGUUUGUCCUAGGCUGAUGGGACGCAUGGGGUCAUGUUCCAGCCGUUCUCCUGUCCGAAGGGUCUUCCAGAUCAAAUUUGCUCCGUUUGCAAACCGGAAGAUGAUUUUCCUAAUGGCUGUAACUACAUUGCUCAUAUUCUGGCUGCACAGACUUGCUCCUGUAUAGCUGCAGUGCAUCUGGGAGGAGGGAAGGUCGGGGGCACUUGGAGGCCUCUUUCAACUCGGGUCCUCGUGGGAAUUGCCAGAAUCCAGUCUCACCUCUUGGAGGGAGGAAUCUWCCUCAUCCGAUCAUGCCCAGCGAUAGAGAUCGCUCAAGACGUUGCGCCGCAGGCAUCCUUCCCGACGGAGGUAGCAAAGUCCCAGAACAAUCUGCGUGGGCUGUACAAAGCAAAACCGCUCAGGAAAUUCAAGGAUUUUGACCCGCUUCCUCGCAUCCUGCUCUGUAGUGCAGCAGCGGUGGCCGCGUCCUCAGCACGGUGGAAGGACGACRUGGUUUGUGUGAGCUGAGCAGAGGUGGUCCCGCGUCCCGCGCCAAGAGGUUUUCCGCCGCCGUCUCUGCGCAGGCUCCGUCCCUUUCCAAGCUCUCCCCGCGGUAAGUGUGAAUGGUGCUGCUGCUGAUCUUAUGGAUAUUGAUUCCAUCUCGCAAAAAUGUGUCGCAGCCAAGGGAGUUCGCCCUGCCGACCUUCAGCCUGCCUGCUGCCGGGAGCCGGUGACGUCCGAGCCAGCGGCGAAGCCGGCGGAAGCGGGAGGGGGCGGCGGGGCAGGAGGGAGCAGAUUUGCUGCUCUCAUUGCACGGGGGGGAAACUUCUCAGGUGAACGCGGUCGCAGGCAGCGUCACGCAAAGCAAGUCGCUGCAGCCCUCGGGGCAGGAGACCCUCCCYGGCGCGGAGGGCAAUGGCUCUGCUGCGGGGGCCGCGGUUCCCGUUAGACGCAGGCGCGCCAGACGUGAGAUGGGGCGUCCGAGCAGCCCUGGCGAGCCUGCACGGGCUUGAGGGGGAUGGAAAAACCUUUCUCUCUACCAACGACCCCGACCCGGGCGUAGCUGGGACUCCCGUGCAGAUCCCAGGCGGAGCAGGGCAUGGUUUCACACCGUAAGAAUAAAAUUGAGCCCUGGGGAGGGAGCA
ensembl:lncRNA